rnacentral:rRNA from 1 species
UUCGAGCGGACCGAAAGGGAGCUUGCUCCUUUAGGUUAGCGGCGGACGGGUGANUAACACGUGGGCAACCUGCCCUGCAGACUGGGAUAACUUCGGGAAACCGGAGCUAAUACCGGAUAACACCGAAAACCGCAUGGUUUUCGGUUGAAAGGCGGCUUUUAGCUGUCACUGCAGGAUGGGCCCGCGGCGCAUUAGCUAGUUGGUGGGGUAACGGCUCACCAAGGCGACGACGGGUAGCCGGCCUGAGAGGGCGACCGGCCACACUGGGACUGAGACACGGCCCAGACUCCUACGGGAGGCAGCAGUGGGGAAUAUUGGACAAUGGGCGCAAGCCUGAUCCAGCCAUGCCGCGUGUGUGAAGAAGGCCUUAUGGUUGUAAAGCACUUUAAGCGAGGAGGAGGCUACUUUAGAUAAUACCUAGAGAUAGUGGACGUUACUCGCAGAAUAAGCACCGGCUAACUCUGUGCCAGCAGCCGCGGUAAU